rnacentral:tRNA from 2 species
GGGUGAUUAGCUCAUCUGGGAGAGCACCUCCCUUACAAGGAGGGGGUCGGCGGUUCGAUCCCGUCAUCACCCACCA